CCUCCUCUUCUUGAUAAGAGCUUGCACAUGGUCCUGGUCCUGGUCCCAGAAAUACAUGGAGGCAGAGGGAAGGGGCUCUGCCCUGGUAUCAGGUCUUUGGUGCCCAUGGUUUCCAGUCCCCUGGUUCUAUCCUCAAGUGAAGGGACAUGG